rnacentral:tRNA from 1 species
CGCGGGGUGGAGCAGUUCGGUAGCUCGCUGGGCUCAUAACCCAGAGGUCGCAGGUUCGAAUCCUGCCCCCGCUACCA